UAACUGCAUAAGAUGACAUUGUGCCUGAUGCCAGGACAACCUUCCGUGCCACCUUUCGGGUGUGGUCAGCCCUCAAGACCUCACCAAAAGUGCCUUGAAGGAGCAGAUUGAGCGUGCCCUCCUCCCUAUGGUACUCCUGAAUGAGGCAGUCCACCAGAUCCUCUGCUGGGGAGAGCAGUUCCAGCUGCUAACAUCCUGGUCAUAAGAUGGAAGUGGUGAAGCAGCAGGCGUUGGCUGAAAGUGAGCAGGAGAAGGAGCUGCAGACUGAGCUGAGGGUCUUCCAACGACUGCUGCAAAAAUAAAAAAAUACCUUGAGUUGUUGUUGAAUAAAAUAUUAUCUCAAAGUCCAAA